GGCAGGGGCAGGAACACCUGCUGCUCUCCGUUGGCUGCUUCACAGGAGCCAACCAGCCUUCCUUCUAUACCACCAACUGAAUCACGUGGGGUUUGGUUUCAGUUUGGGUUUUGUUUGUUUGUUUGAGACAGGUUCUUGCUUUGCAAGUCGUAAUGGCCUGACAUGCACUAUGCAGCCCAGGCUGGCCUCAAACUCUAGAUCUGACCAUCUAGUUUCUUCCGGAGUGAUCUAGAUCUCUGCAUCCCAAGCGCUGAGAUUACAGGUUUGCACCACCAUGUCUGACUCUAUUUAGACUCACGAAGAGAACCUCUGGACACAGCCUGAAAAGCCAAAGGGAAUAAGCCUGGGGGUUUAUUAUCAAUUCCCUCCUCAGAAGUCCUAACGUAACCAUGACAACAUUGACCCAGGUUCCGUCUGAGACUGUCAGGUUGUGGCAGGAUGAAGAAGGGAAAAGCUGAACUUCAUGCCAAGGGGCAAGGUUUACGAGAUCCUAUUUGGAUCAGCGUCCCCAGGAAGCCGACCCCUGAGCUCUGAAUGGCAGGAAGCCGUGAGUGGGAACAAGAUCUUCUGGCAUGACAGAAGGAGCAUGGAGCAUCCCUGCCUCUGCACAGUCCUGACUGAAGUGCUUCCUGUCUGCACUCUGGGGAUGACAACUGCCUGCCUAGUGGGGCUGCUCUGAGAACAAAUGAGUCACCUGUGUCAAGUGCCGUGCCCCUGGGACAACUGCACUUGAGUCCCAUUCUCAAGAGGCCACCAGAGCACAGCUUUCCAAACUGCGGUGGGUUCUCCUGCAGUCACAUCCGCAUAAACAUCCCUCACAAGUGGCCCUCUGAAGGCGACUUCACAUUUAGAUGCUCGAUCUCUCUAUUUAAAUCCCAGAACAGGAUGUCUUUGUCCUCAGAAACCCUGAAGUGACUUCUGAAGCUUCCGUGCCAAGCAGGCAUAUUUCAUGUGACAGUCCCCUCUUCCUGUACUGCCUAGAAAGGUGACGAAGGUGUUCUCUGGUCUGUGCUCCUUUUAGACUGCCUAGCAGGCUCUGCGCAGCUCCAGUGAGGAACUGUCAUUCAGUUUGCCAAUGUCCAACAUCACAAGAGGCCCAUGUGGGGAAUGGAACCCUGGGAGGAGCAGUGCAGAGAAAGUCUCGCCAGCUGAUACACCUCCUGCCCUCGGAAGGGGGCUUCCCAACAUCCAUUUGAGCACAUUACAAUCUUUCUAUAAAAGGCGCAUGUCUUACA